CAGCGCACCAUCAGCACACCGAAACUCAAAGACAUCCGGGUGUAAAAACGUAAACCGAUUUUGUCCGCCAUUACCACCGCCAGUUUACUUUCCAAUGGCAACGGCACCGUGCGACACCGGAAGCGUGCUUGAAAUUCCCACACCGAUGGGGAAAGUGCCCAGCAAUGGGGCGGUAUUUUUUGGCGAGACGACGGAAAAGCGAAACAACUUUCCCAUCAACAUCACCAUACGGAACUGAGCUGUCGGAGUGGACGGAAAAAAAACUACCAUUACUUUAUUGCAUCCGGCAUUCCGGUUCGUAUAGUUAUGCUGAUGCACUGGAAAGAAGGGAAAUUCUUUUUGAAAUGAAGCAACUUGAGAAAUGCAAUUCUUGGUUUGUGAGUGUGUGGAUUUCGAAACACUGAUAUGCAAACAGGAAACCAUCAACUAAUGAUAAAACCUUCGAUCACAAGCAUUUGAACGAAUAGCUCUGGGCCGUUUCCGGUAGGUGGGAUGUUAGAAAAUGUUUUACUUUUCAUUAUGCGUAUACCAUUUUCUUCGGAAUCCCAUUAAUUCCCCCCCCUCCCCGGCGUAACUGCGUUGUGUUGAAGCUCCACCAGAUUGGGGUGUGCGAUUGUGCCAGGGCUAUGGUGAAAACAUUAAUUUCCUUGUCCAUCUCGGAGGGAUCGCAAACAAGAGCGGGUUCACCGAGUGACCCGGAAGAGUUUGCUAGGCGUGUCCCAGGUGGCACGCAACAGGUAGAUUCCAUCAGUAUAGAAUGCACAGUUUUAGCGAGAAAAACACAACGCAACUCCCACCCCUCCCCCAACCCGGGUCGGCCGGGGGCCGCAGGGCUCCCCCAGGCACUCCCAGGCUCCAAACGGUCGGAGGACAGUAGCCGGUGGACUUGCUGGGGUGCUGGGAUGCUCACAAAAAAACGCAUCCUUGACGCAGCCUCCUCCAUGGCUGUGGAUGUGCCCCUGGCAACCGGGCGUAGAUUGCACCGGGAAAAUGGAACCGUUUCCCAGCCAACCGGCAGUAGUGCACUAUAAAUAGUUCGAGGCGCGAUGCCCGUGUAGGUGUACGGGCGACCAGUGUUGUGCAGCUUCGUCUGCCCGGAUUCUGGGUAAAGGUGCACGGGUGCACAAAAAGGGAAGAAAAGAGAGCAGGGAAAUAAUAACAAGGACUCGAAUCAAUAAAUCCGGGGUGCGAACCGUUUUGGAAUGCUAUCGGCAUCCAUUCCCGGCAUAGAUGGGAUUUGGGUUUUGAGUGAUGAUUUUCAUCACGGUUUUUGGGCUUCGUUGGGUAUUACCACUUCAUUUGGCACAUGCCUCGUCGUAUGAACGAUACGUUCAUGGAACGAAAAAAACAACAAUCAACAAAUUGGAAACCAAAACUGAAACCAAAUUUGAUGGCCGAGUGAUUUAAUUGGCGUUUUAAAAUUGCGAAAAAAAGUCAUUUACCAUUCUUCGAAAGAACGAAUCGUUCCGCGUUUCGAUGUACUCGUAGCGCACUUUUACAAAAAGAACCGAAUUUCAGAGCCAAUUAGUCAAUUAGUUGAUGAAAAAUAAAUCUGUGUCAAAUUGCGAGCAGCCGUACUUAAAGUGCUUCAAACUGGCAGGACACUUUCUAGCGUAGAACGUGCAUUAGUUAACGUUGAUUAGCGAAAGACUAAAAAUAAAAGUAUUAAAAAAACACACACAAAAAAACAUAAACAUACUAUCCUUAGAACACGCAGUGGACAUAGGAAAAGAAUGUAAUGUAGAAACUUACAAUGGAGAGAGAGAAAGAGAAAAAAGUAUAGCAAAUUCUCCAUCAGUAUAAAAUAUUCAACACUAACCUUGCAUCAAAACGGGAGCUUCGUCAAAUGUGUACCAAAGUUCGACUAAUCCGUAGCAUCUGUUACAACAACCUGUUGUGACUUGAUCCGGAAUCAUCUACCGUUCGAUAAAAAAUACAUCAGUCAGUCAGAGUUCCAACGAUACGUGAUACCAGUUUAGGCCGGCAGUUCGUUUUGCCAAAUGCUUCGGAUUGCUCAAACUUUAUCCAUGCGCAAACGACGAAAGUCCCUACCAUAAGUAUAUUAUUUUGUAACAACUCAAAAGUACAUGAAACCGAUGCUAAAAGCUCAUUUCGAACAAUGCUUUCGAUUGCUGGAACUUGUCCACAACAACAGAUGAAAAAAACGUGAAAAGUUGUUUGUAGAUGGAAGAAAAUUAUCAUCGUUUGCACGUUUAACUGUUAAACUCGCGGAGCCUUUUUUCGAAGGACACCGCCGAUUAUAAUAACCCAUGGUAAAACCGAACAUGUAUAUUAAAAUAAUCUAAAUAAGAUACCCUAAAAACAUUUCCCUCUCAGUGUGAUUAUCACAAAGCUAAAGAAAACGAAAUAGAACGGAAGAUGAAUCAAUAAACGCAUUAGAAAUGGUACUGGAAAUAGAAAAUCCAAGUAAAAUAUACAAUGUUCGUGUGUAAGGAGAAUCUAUAAAAAAAAAUUUAAAAAAAACUACAAAAAAACAAAAAUUAAAAAAAGAAUAGAAAGACUAUGAUGUAAACAACAUGAGGAACAUGCAUAAUAAUCACUAAACCACAAAGAGGAAAAUUCACAAUGUUUUACCUAUAUCUACAGCUACUAAAUGGUGAAUGUUUACUCCGCAGUUUAUAGCCUUCAAGAGAACCCUGGAAGCAAUGGAAAAUAACAUAGCUGGCAAAGAAAAACAUGCAAGUGGAAAACGAAAGCUAAAAUGAAACAGAAACAAAUCAUUACAAUAUACCGAAACUUUAUAGAACAUGUUGCAUGUGAUACUGAUACAGAAACUGGUUCAUAUUAAAACGUUAUGUGUGAAACAAACAAUAUACAAUACAAACCCACACCGCAUCCACCGUGCUGAUUGCAGCAUCCACAACCGCAGUUCCAGAUGAGCCUAUCCCUCCAACCGGUCCCGGUCGGUCAACGUCUCCAACGCAAUCUUGGAGUGUGCCGUAACGUACGUAAGACGUAAGUGCAUGGAACUUGCUGCCCGUCAAUCUUCGGAGCGACAGGAGAAUGCAAAUGCCGCAGGCCACAUUGUACCGUAUUUGUCAAACCGACGCAACAGGCACGACCACGACAGGACGAUGACACACGAGAACACGGAGUGGAUUCUAGGAGGAUACUACAUUUGCUUUCCAAUUCUUUUCGACCAUUUGCAAUGCAGCAAAAAAGAAGAAAAUUACAUGUUGGCCGCCUGCCAGUCUCCCGUUCUAUCACCGCGUGGUACGUGUAGAGCCAACCGUCCCCGGAACCCCCUUAGUAACGGAACCGGGGCCUUGUAUUUUAAAUUUUUAUAGCUUUUCCCACGCACCACCAGCUACAACUCUCCCGCUCCCCUGGUUCUUUCAACGGGGAAAGUGCAUACGAGGAAACAUGCACCGACCGACACGGGAGCGGGAGAACAUCCUGAGGGCCGGCCUUCAGCGAGGCAAAUCCUCGCCCCCAUCGGUUCGGGAGUGAUUUUAUUUUUCGUUUUUCCCUACUGCAACGUUACGCCGACGUGUUUGGGUGGGGUUUUUCGCGCGGCAAUCAACAAUUACUCCCCAAGCAACCUUUCCCAUGGCAGAAAAAAAAUGCUCCCCAUUUCCGUUCGUCGACGACGACGACGACGAAUUGGUCGAAUUCUUUUGUGUGCCUGUGCUACAGGAAAGUUUUCUUUUGGUUUACUUCGUGCCACGAGAAUUGCUCAGGCAUUUUCGACUGCACUCCCAGGAAUUCCCGAACCAUUCCACUUGAUCUUUGGUCCUGUUUCUUCAACGUGAUCUAUAUUUUAUGUUUUGAACCAUUCCUUGCUGUUAUUGUACGCGCACCAAACACUCUCCCUAACGCUGCAGGAGCGAUACAUGACUCAGGCGAUGCGGAAAAUGAAGGUUUACAGGAUGGUAGCCGUGGCUUGGAGGGCAUUUAAUCUAAAAUGCCGGUGUGGGAAGGUUAAAGAAAAGAAAUUUAAAAUUCAACUUUUAAUAAAAUAAAACUAGCCACGUGCGCGGUAGAGCUUGACCCUGGUGAAGGCGUUUUUAUUUCAUGGACAGAGACAGCAGAGACUUGCAACGCUACAAACAAGGACAACAGUGACUCUUUACAUGAAAGAGGUUGGUUUUUGAAAAAUAUUUUAUAAAUUAUUGUAUUUAUUGCGAUGACGAACGUGACUUUCACAAGCAAUACGAGUGCAAUGGCUUGCGACUAGCAAGUUUAGUCAACGUACGAGGGCCGUUCGGGGGAUAUGGAAUAAUAAGGAAACAAACCUGAAACAACCAACCUACAAACAAGCCCUAAAACCAAGCAACAUAAUAACAAUAUAGAACAUACUUCACUAACUAUAUUUGUAAUGUUUUUUCCCGAUGCUGUAUUUAAAAUCUUGUCUGUGUCGAAAUGUUCAUUUUAAACUAAUAUUUUCUAGGAGAAAGGCGGUUGAGCAAAAUUAUGCAUGGAAUAUUUAUAUUAAAAAAAGAAA